UCCACGAGAGGUUAUAAAUGGUUAUAAAGUUGUUCUAAAAUAAUGUAAACCUGUGUAAACCUAAAUUUUAAGAAAAAUUUGAUUAUUCCAAGAAACAAGUAGAAUGCGCUUCAGCAAAUUACCGAAAGAUCAAAUCUAUCUUGCGAUCGUUUUAGGUUGCGUUACUGGUUAUUAUAUAUGGAAUGAGCCCAUAAAGAAUUACAGUCAAGAGCAUUUUGGCGAUACAAAUCAAAUAAACAAACUUCCUGAUGGCCAAAAGUAAACUUCUGGCGUCAGUUCGUUUGAAGCUGUUGGGAACUGUGUGUGCAGGUUUAGGACUUUUAUUAUGUUACAGAUUCCUUAUAAAAAACCAUGUUUGGUUUAAUAAACACAAUGAAGCUGAGAUGUAUGCAAAUUUCAUUUAUGAAAACUAUAAAGAAAAAGAAGAAAUGAAAAAG